rnacentral:rRNA from 1 species
GAAAAUGUAACGGGGCUAAACACACCACCGAAGCUAUGGCUUGCGUCGACUUCACUGCUUCUUUGAAGCGUGGAGCUGUGAGACAUUUUUGCCGAAUUCAACCUUGAAUCACAGGGUUGCUUACAAACAAACUUCUAUAUAAUAGAAGAUUUCGGCCAAAUGCGCUUAGGCUAAACUCACUUCGAAGGCGAAGUGAAGUCGAUGCAGGGGUAGGGGAGCGUUGUGUACCGGGUUGAAGGUAGACCGGAAGGACUGCUGGACUGUACACAAGUGAGAAUGCCGGUAUGAGUAACGAAAAGACAUGUGAGAAUCAUGUCCGCCGAAAGCCUAAGGGUUCCUGGGGAAGGCU